AAGUGUGGACGCCAGUCUGCAUGGAGCCGACCUUGAAAUACCACCCUUUAAUGUUUGAUGUUCUAACGUGGACCCGUAAUCCGGGUUGCGGACAGUGUCUGGUGGGUAGUUUGACUGGGGCGGUCUCCUCCUAAAGAGUAACGGAGGAGCACGAAGGUUGGCUAAUCCUGGUCGGACAUCAGGAGGUUAGUGCAAUGGCAUAAGCCAGCUUGACUGCGAGCGUGACGGCGCGAGCAGGUGCGAAAGCAGGUCAUAGUGAUCCGGUGGUUCUGAAUGGAAGGGCCAUCGCUCAACGGAUAAAAGGUACUCCGGGGAUAACAGGCUGAUACCGCCCAAGAGUUCAUAUCGACGGCGGUGUUUGGCACCUCGAUGUCGGCUCAUCACAUCCUGGGGCUGAAGUAGGUCCCAAGGGUAUGGCUGUUCGCCAUUUAAAGUGGUACGCGAGCUGGGUUUAGAACGUCGUGAGACAGUUCGGUCCCUAUCUGCCGUGGGCGCUGGAGAACUGAGGGGGGCUGCUCCUAGUACGAGAGGACCGGAGUGGACGCAUCACUGGUGUUCGGGUUGUCAUGCCAAUGGCACUGCCCGGUAGCUAAAUGCGGAAGAGAUAAGUGCUGAAAGCAUCUAAGCACGAAACUUGCCCCGAGAUGA
rnacentral:rRNA from 1 species